UGGGCGCAAGCCUGAUGCAGCCAUGCCGCGUGUAUGAAGAAGGCUUCGGGUUGUAAAGUACUUUCAGCAGUGAGGAAGGUGGGUAUGUUAAUAGCAUAUUCAUUUGACGUUAGCUGCAGAAGAAGCACCGGCUAACUCCGUGCCAGCAGCCGCGGUAAUACGGAGGGUGCGAGCGUUAAUCGGAAUUACUGGGCGUAAAGCGCAUGCAGGUGGUUUGUUAAGUCAGAUGUGAAAGCCCGGGGCUCAACCUCGGAAUUGCAUUUGAAACUGGCAAACUAGAGUACUGUAGAGGGGGUAGAAUUUCAGGUGUAGCGGUGAAAUGCGUAGAGAUCUGAAGGAAUACCGGUGGCGAAGGCGGCCCCCUGGACAGAUACUGACACUCAGAUGCGAAAGCGUGGGGAGCAAACAGGAUUAGAUACCCUGGUAG
rnacentral:rRNA from 1 species